GCGGACGUGGCGGAACUGGCAGACGCGCAUGGUUCAGGUCCAUGUGGGAGCAAUCCCGUGGAGGUUCGACUCCUCUCGUCCGCACCA
rnacentral:tRNA from 1 species